CUACGGGUGGCUCCAGUGAGGAAUAUUGCACAAUGGGGGGAACCCUGAUGCAGCAACGCCGCGUGGAGGAUGACGCAUUUCGGUGUGUAAACUCCUUUUAUAUGUCAAGAAAAUGACGGUAGCAUAUGAAUAAGCACCGGCUAACUCCGUGCCAGCAGCCGCGGUAAUACGGAGGGUGCAAGCGUUACUCGGAAUCACUGGGCGUAAAGGACGCGUAGGCGGGUUGGAAAGUCAGGUGUGAAAUCCUACAGCUUAACUGUAGAACUGCACUUGAAACUUCUAAACUAGAGUAUGGGAGGGGGAGAUAGAAUUAGUGGUGUAGGGGUAAAAUCCGUAGAUAUCACUAGGAAUACCGAAGGCGAAGGCGAUCUCCUGGAACAAUACUGACGCUAAGGCGUGAAAGCGUGGGGAGCAAACAGGAUUAGAUACCCUAGUAGUC
rnacentral:rRNA from 1 species